AUGGAAUCGCAUCAGAUUUGGAUGACUAAUUUAGUUUUACAUCACAUGACUUAGAAAUUCAGUAAACUAUCGGAUAUUUCUGUUCCACAAACAUCUGAAAGGCUACAUUAUUUGUUGUAAUUCAAAGCAAGGAGCAGUAAUAAAUCAAAUCCAUCAAACUUGUUCGGUGCUUGUUGUGGCCACAGUGUCUGCCAAAGCUACAAGGAACAUCUGCUCUAGACGAGUGAGGCCUGGCAGACUUGAGUGCAUCAGGUGGCUUGAAAGGACGCUGGCGUGUUCUCGGCCAAAGAAGAUCCAGUGGUUGGCUGUACACAAGUCUGGAGCUCAGAAUGAGUUUACUAGCAGUCUGAAGAUUAGCAAUUGAUGAAGAUCGUGGAAUGGGACUCACGCCAGGUGAUAAAUCUGGAGAAGAAUCUACAGUCUUCUGCUCAGUACCUCUACCCCUCUACAAGGGAGGCUGCUGGGACUGAAAACAUUUCCUGCAGACAAAGAAAAUGUGUCUGCCAGACAACAAUGGCAAAAUUUUCACAUUCCUGAAUAUCUUCUUUUUCCAGAGAACUAUGGAAUGGCAUCUUCCUCCAUACAGGGUUGAUGCUUGCUGCUAUGUGGAAGUGACCGAGUGCAUUUGCGUGAUGUGAAAUGUGACGCUGAACUUCAUGAGUACCCUGCUGAUCUGGCAACACAUCUGUAUUGAGAAAUGGUGCUGCUAAUGCUGGAAGUGCUAGUUUCACAUAUCUGCUCACCCAGAAGAGUAUCUUCUGGUAACAGUGUCUCUGCCCACAGUCGACAGAUGCCAUCAAGACAUGAUCUGUUGCAAAGUAUUCACCAUCAGGAGACCAGGCCAUCAAAUGUACUGAUACUGCAGUCCUAAAGAACACAAGAGUAAAGUUUUAAAAUGAUCAUCUUCAUCUUCCUCUAGAAUGUCACUAGAUGGUGGAGCCCACAGUUGCAAAUAGUCAGUUGCUGUCAGCAGCCUGUUACCUGAAUAAACCCUCCAUGUACAAGAUGGCCUUUAUCAGGAAUUUAUCUAGUAAUAUUCCCAAUACUCAAAUGCUUUGAGAGCUCUGAAAAAAUUUGCUCCUCCAGCUGUCAAACAGUUGGGCCUGCUAAAGAAUCUCAACACGUGGCUCUUCAGACUUGUGGAACUCUGGAUGGUUGUUUCUAAGGGAAAGGAUUGUGGGAUUUCAUCUCAGAAUUAUUAUGUCUCCCAGCUUGAGAACUGGCAAAUAUACAAAGAAAAAUGUCACAACUUGAGAAGUGGAACUGUGAUAAAAUAUUUUACUAUUAGUUUUUCUGAAGUCCAGAAAAUCAUUGUUUCUAUAAAUGACCUUUCUGCUACCACAAUAUUUAAAGUAAGUGGUUAUGCAUGUCCUUGGAAAGAAACUAUUAAUGAAAUGAUAAUUCCAGGUCCCUCUUUUUUUUUUUUUUUUUUUUU